rnacentral:tRNA from 1 species
UCCUGGUGACUCAGGCGGUAAAGAAUCUGCCUGCAACGCAGGAGACCCGGGUUCGAUCCCUGGGUCAGGAA